CCCUGGAGCUGGCUGAGCUCAUGGAGGAGCAGGGGUACUCGGGCGAGGAGAUCGAGGCCAAGGUGGCCACGUUCCGGACGAUGCUGCUGGAGAAGGACGAGGGGCCCGGGGACCCCGAGCAGAAACCCACCGUGACGGAGACCCACCAGCUGGCCGAGGCCAACGAGCGCAAGAACGAGCGACUGCGGGCGGCCUAAUUAACUAAUUAACUUCUAAUUAGCCCAGAGGAAAGGGGUGGGGCCUGGAGGGAAGGAGUGGACUCUUAAUUAGUUAAUUAAUUGACCUUUAAUUAGCCUGAAUGGAAGGGGUGUGGCUUGAAAGGAAGAGUUACUUUUAAGGCAAGGGG